AAAAUUCACGUCAGAUUUUCACUACUUUUUUUUUUUUCUUUUCCCAUCCCGGCGUUGAAAGAAGCAAAACGAAAUCAGAGCAACAAAACCACUUACACCCAUUCAAAACCAGAGCAUCAAAGAUUCAAAACCACUGUCCCUUUCUUGCAAAUCACUCGGCCAUGAAACUCUCUCUCAAAGCUUCUUCUCUUCCUCUUCCUCCACUGUCACCUACACUCUCCAUAAUGACCACUCUACCCCUCCACGCACGAAUCCGACUCGAAACUCGGGGACUGUGAAGACGAAGGUGUCAGAAGUGGAGGUCCACCUGUUCCGGCGGGGCAAGGGUCCGAUCGACGUGUUCAAGGCGGAACUGGGAGGUCCGAGACAUCCUUGACAAAUACGGGUUUAAGUUGGUCCACGCGUUCAAUUCCGGGGCGGGGCGUGGCCUCGCGAUCCGGUUCAAUCCGAGGGAACGGAUGGUCUCUGUUGACUUACAGGGACAGAUUCGUGGUUUACAUCGAUGGGGAGCCCAAGGUGGGUACAGAUUCGUGGUUUGAAUUUUGGUUGUAUUUCUGCGUUUUGAUUUCUUCGUGUUCGUCGACAACAAUGGAAAUGCUACUUGCUUUCAAAGAAAGAAGAAAAAAAAAAAAAAAAAAAAAUCUGACGUGGUAAUGCCACGUGAGGGUGUAUGUAUUUGGGUGUAAGGCUUGGGUGUAAGUGUAGUAUUUCCCUUAAAUUAUAGGGCUCCAAGAGGCCCGUUCACAUUCCCUCCCUCCCUCCCAUACAACUCCCGCCACCACCUAUAAAUCCCCAAACGGUUCAAACUGAAAAUUUUGAAAACAACCACUCCGCCAAAAUAACACCCUCUCUCUCUAGCUCUCUCUCUCUCUCCGUCCACGUGCCGGUGUAAAAUGCCACCGUUGCGUAGAAUGGAGAAGGGGCUGAUAUCGGUGGACCGGUGGACAGGCCAGAGCCAAGCCUACUUCUUGACUCACCUGCACUCGGACCACACUCAGGGCUUGUCGUCCACCUGGGCCAAGGGACUAAUCUUCUGCUCCCGCCUCACCGCCAAACUGUUCCCCUUCAAAUUCCCCAACUUCAACCUCUCUUUGCUACGCGUCCUCGACCUCGGCGCGUGGCACUCCCUCUCCCUCCUCUCUCCCUCCCCCUCCGCAUCACAGUCCUUCAUCACCGUCGAGGUCAUGGCCAUUGACGCUCACCAUUGUUCUGGUGCAGUUAUGUUUUUGUUUCGUGGAGAGUUUGGCUGCUUGCUUUUCACUGGUGAUUUCCGUUGGGAAACAGCUAGUAAGAGGGCAAAGAUAGGAAGAACCAUGCUCCUCGAUGCUCUCAAGGACGAUGUAGUCGACAUCCUUUACUUGGAUAACACAUACUGCAAUCCGUCAUACAUUUUUCCAUCUCGAGAAGCUGCAGCUCAGCAGGUUGUCGAUAUCAUUGUCUCACAUCCUGAACAUGACAUCAUUAUUGGCAUCGACACUUUGGGGAAAGAAGAUCUUUUGCUUCACAUUUCACGUGCACUUAAAAUAAAGAUUUGGGUGUGGCCGGAACGCUUGCGAACUAUGCACCUUCUUGGGUACCAUGAAAUAUUUACUACCAAGACUUCUCUUACAAGAGUGCGAGCUGUUCCUCGUUACAGUUUCAGCAUUGAAACUCUAGAGGGACUAAAUACAAUGCGCGCAACUAUCGGUAUCAUGCCAUCUGGUCUUCCAUGGGUGACAAAAUCUCUUGAAAGAGGUGACAAACCUUUUGGUUCUCUUUUAACUUCUCAUUGCAACAAAAGUAAAUGGAGUGGAAACGGUGGGAACCAUAUUGAUAAGCCAAAUGCAAAUUUAGGUUCUGUGGGAAGGUUUCAUAAGUACAUCUAUACUGUUCCAUACUCUGAUCACUCGUGCUUUACAGAGAUAGAGGAUUUUAUAAAACUUGUCCAGCCAACCAGCAUGAAAGGCAUUGUCUCUUCAUCAUCUUGCUAUGUUGAUCCUAUGUACUAUUUUGGCUGUCUUUGUGGAGCCAACCAAGCAGUUCAAAGAUCACUUCACAAACAUAAGAGAAAGGAGAGAGAUGAAAGAGUUCCGGCUGUCUGUCUUAGAACUCCCUUUAGCAGUGGUGGUGCUUUUGCUGAGUCAGAGAGGAAAAGAGGAAGGACAGUAAAGGGUAAACAUUCAGGUACUCAUGUGAGUAGGAUAAGUGCAUUGAGACGAAUACAGCGUGGUGCAAAGAUUAUGGAAGAUGGCUGUCUGAAUUGAUUAGUAUUCAUUGUCGGCAGUAAAAAGAAUGGAGUUCAGGAUGAAUUGCUGCAAACAGGAAUAAGUUGGUUUUCUGGGAUGAUGCCCAAAACUCUCUUACAUGAGUUAUAUUCACUUGAAAGUUUGGCAAUCAAACUGACAUCAUGGAACUAAGACGGGAGUUUCCACCGGAAGAAAAUGCACCUGGUGGGAUUUGGCCAUACUUGUCAUACACUUGUUUCCUAGGCAUUCGUAGGACUUUUAGGAUGAAGAGGUGUUUUCUGGUCGUCUGGUUUGACAUUAGUGGACAAGAAGAAGAAGCAGAGGUUUUUCUGGUCAUCUGGUUUGACAUUAGUGGUGGUCCAAAGGGGUAUAUGCUGCAAGUUGAAGUGGUCAAAAGACUCAAAACGGACCUAUGCCUUUGGCCCGUAUAUGUAUGUAUGUUGGUAUGUGUCACAGAUAUUGAUGGCAAGGAAAUAGGCCAAUGCUAUCUCCUCUAGCUCGUAGAUGUCUGUGUCCAAGUGUA